rnacentral:rRNA from 1 species
CGGAGUUACAAAGGACGACAUUAGACGAAUCAUCUGGAAAGAUGAAUCAAAGAAGGUAAUAAUCCUGUAGUCGAAAAUGUUGUCUCUCUUGAGUGGAUCCUGAGUACGACGGAGCACGUGAAAUUCCGUCGGAAUCUGGGAGGACCAUCUCCUAAGGCUAAAUACUCUCUAGUGACCGAUAGUGAACCAGUACCGUGAGGGAAAGGUGAAAAGCACCCCGGAAGGAGAGUGAAAUAGAACCUGAAACCGUGUGCUUACAAGUAGUCAGAGCCCGUUAAUGGGUGAUGGCGUGCCUUUUGUAGAAUGAACCGGCGAGUUACGAUUUGAUGCAAGGUUAAGCAGUAAAUGUGGAGCCGUAGCGAAAGCGAGUCUGAAUAGGGCGUUUAGUAUUUGGUCGUAGACCCGAAACCAGGUGAUCUACCCUUGGUCAGGUUGAAGUUCAGGUAACACUGAAUGGAGGACCGAACCGACUUACGUUGAAAAGUGAGCGGAUGAACUGAGGGUAGCGGAGAAAUUCCAAUCGAACCUGGAGAUAGCUGGUUCUCUCCGAAAUAGCUUUAGGGCUAGCCUCAAGUGAUGAUUAUUGGAGGUAGAGCACUGUUUGGACGAGGGGCCCCUCUCGGGUUACCGAAUUCAGACAAACUCCGAAUGCCAAUUAAUUUAACUUGGGAGUCAGAACAUGGGUGAUAAGGUCCGUGUUCGAAAGGGAAACAGCCCAGACCACCAGCUAAGGUCCCAAAAUAUAUGUUAAGUGGAAAAGGAUGUGGCGUUGCCCAGACAACUAGGAUGUUGGCUUAGAAGCAGCCAUCAUUUAAAGAGUGCGUAAUAGCUCACUAGUCGAGUGACACUGCGCCGAAAAUGUACCGGGGCUAAACAUAUUACCGAAGCUGUGGAUUGUCCUUUGGACAAUGGUAGGAGAGCGUUCUAAGGGCGUUGAAGCAUGAUCGUAAGGACAUGUGGAGCGCUUAGAAGUGAGAAUGCCGGUGUGAGUAGCGAAAGACGGGUGAGAAUCCCGUCCACCGAUUGACUAAGGUUUCCAGAGGAAGGCUCGUCCGCUCUGGGUUAGUCGGGUCCUAAGCUGAGGCCGACAGGCGUAGGCGAUGGAUAACAGGUUGAUAUUCCUGUACCACCUAUAAUCGUUUUAAUCGAUGGGGGGACGCAGUAGGAUAGGCGAAGCGUGCGAUUGGAUUGCACGUCUAAGCAGUAAGGCUGAGUAUUAGGCAAAUCCGGUACUCGUUAAGGCUGAGCUGUGAUGGGGAGAAGACAUUGUGUCUUCGAGUCGUUGAUUUCACACUGCCGAGAAAAGCCUCUAGAUAGAAAAUAGGUGCCCGUACCGCAAACCGACACAGGUAGUCAAGAUGAGAAUUCUAAGGUGAGCGAGCGAACUCUCGUUAAGGAACUCGGCAAAAUGACCCCGUAACUUCGGGAGAAGGGGUGCUCUUUAGGGUUAACGCCCAGAAGAGCCGCAGUGAAUAGGCCCAAGCGACUGUUUAUCAAAAACACAGGUCUCUGCUAAACCGUAAGGUGAUGUAUAGGGGCUGACGCCUGCCCGGUGCUGGAAGGUUAAGAGGAGUGGUUAGCUUCUGCGAAGCUACGAAUCGAAGCCCCAGUAAACGGCGGCCGUAACUAUAACGGUCCUAAGGUAGCGAAAUUCCUUGUCGGGUAAGUUCCGACCCGCACGAAAGGCGUAACGAUUUGGGCACUGUCUCAACGAGAGACUCGGUGAAAUCAUAGUACCUGUGAAGAUGCAGGUUACCCGCGACAGGACGGAAAGACCCCGUGGAGCUUUACUGUAGCCUGAUAUUGAAAUUCGGCACAGCUUGUACAGGAUAGGUAGGAGCCUUUGAAACGUGAGCGCUAGCUUACGUGGAGGCGCUGGUGGGAUACUACCCUAGCUGUGUUGGCUUUCUAACCCGCACCACUUAUCGUGGUGGGAGACAGUGUCAGGCGGGCAGUUUGACUGGGGCGGUCGCCUCCUAAAAGGUAACGGAGGCGCUCAAAGGUUCCCUCAGAAUGGUUGGAAAUCAUUCAUAGAGUGUAAAGGCAUAAGGGAGCUUGACUGCGAGACCUACAAGUCGAGCAGGGUCGAAAGACGGACUUAGUGAUCCGGUGGUUCCGCAUGGAAGGGCCAUCGCUCAACGGAUAAAAGCUACCCCGGGGAUAACAGGCUUAUCUCCCCCAAGAGUUCACAUCGACGGGGAGGUUUGGCACCUCGAUGUCGGCUCAUCGCAUCCUGGGGCUGUAGUCGGUCCCAAGGGUUGGGCUGUUCGCCCAUUAAAGCGGUACGCGAGCUGGGUUCAGAACGUCGUGAGACAGUUCGGUCCCUAUCCGUCGUGGGCGUAGGAAAUUUGAGAGGAGCUGUCCUUAGUACGAGAGGACCGGGAUGGACAUACCUCUGGUGUACCAGUUGUCGUGCCAACGGCAUAGCUGGGUAGCUAUGUGUGGACGGGAUAAGUGCUGAAAGCAUCUAAGCAUGAAGCCCCCCUCAAGAUGAGAUUUCCCAACUUCGGUUAU